rnacentral:rRNA from 1 species
UACGUAGGUGGCAAGCGUUGUCCGGAAUUAUUGGGCGUAAAGCGCGCGCAGGCGGCCUCUUAAGUCUGAUGUGAAAGCCCCCGGCUCAACCGGGGAGGGCCAUUGGAAACUGGGAGGCUUGAGUAUAGGAGAGAAGAGUGGAAUUCCACGUGUAGCGGUGAAAUGCGUAGAGAUGUGGAGGAACACCAGUGGCGAAGGCGACUCUUUGGCCUAUAACUGACGCUGAGGCGCGAAAGCGUGGGGAGCAAACAGA